AGCGAACGCUGGCGGCAGGCUUAACACAUGCAAGUCGAGCGGGCAUCCUUGUGGUGUCAGCGGCAGACGGGUGAGUAACGCGUGGGAACGUGCCCUUCGGUUCGGAAUAACUCAGGGAAACUUGAGCUAAUACCGGAUACGCCCUUUUGGGGAAAGGUUUACUGCCGAAGGAUCGGCCCGCGUCUGAUUAGCUAGUUGGUGAGGUUAUGGCUCACCAAGGCGACGAUCAGUAGCUGGUCUGAGAGGAUGAUCAGCCACACUGGGACUGAGACACGGCCCAGACUCCUACGGGAGGCAGCAGUGGGGAAUAUUGGACAAUGGGGGCAACCCUGAUCCAGCCAUGCCGCGUGAGUGAUGACGGCCUUAGGGUUGUAAAGCUCUUUUCUCCGGGACGAUAAUGACGGUACCGGAGGAAUAAGCCCCGGCUAACUUCGUGC
rnacentral:rRNA from 1 species